rnacentral:rRNA from 1 species
CUUUUAUUUUUAUAAAAUAAAAUUAACAUAAAGGUCAAAAGGCCAUUUAUAUCCCARAGGGACRAUAARACCCUAUAAAAUUUUACUUUUURAUAAAAAUAUUGAUUAGACAUAAUUUUUUAUACUAGAGUUGGGCUGGGGCGGUAAAAAUAAAAACUACUAAUAUAUAGAAUAUACAUAUAUAGCUUAAUAGGACUUAAAUAAAAUAUAGAACAAGUUACUUUAGGGAUAACASCAUAAUUCUUUCAGAUAGUUCUUAKUGGCGAAAGARUUUAUGACCUCGAUGUUGAAUUGGAAGUCCUUAUAUAAGCAAACAUAUAUACAGG